rnacentral:rRNA from 1 species
UACGUAGGGUGCGAGCGUUAAUCGGAAUUACUGGGCGUAAAGCGUGCGCAGGCGGUUUUGCAAGCCGGAUGUGAAAUCCCCGGGCGUAACCUGGGAAUGGCAUUUGGGACUGCAAGGCUGGAGUGCGGCAGAGGAGACUGGAAUUCCUGGUGUAGCAGUGAAAUGCGUAGAGAUCGGGAGGAACAUCUGUGGCGAAGGCGGCCAUCUGGACCAGCACUGACACUGAGGCACGAAAGCGUGGGGAGCAAACAGG